AGCGAACGCUGGCGGCAGGCCUAACACAUGCAAGUCGAACGCCCCGCAAGGGGAGUGGCAGACGGGUGAGUAACGCGUGGGAAUCUACCGUACCCUACGGAACAACAGUUGGAAACGACUGCUAAUACCGUAUACGCCCUUAGGGGGAAAGAUUUAUCGGGGUAUGAUGAGCCCGCGUUGGAUUAGCUAGUUGGUGGGGUAAAGGCCUACCAAGGCGACGAUCCAUAGCUGGUCUGAGAGGAUGAUCAGCCACAUUGGGACUGAGACACGGCCCAAACUCCCACGGGAGGCAGCAGUGGGGAAUAUUGGACAAUGGGCGCAAGCCUGAUCCAGCCAUGCCGCGUGAGUGAUGAAGGUCUUAGGAUUGUAAAGCCCUUUCACCGAUGAAGAUAAUGACGGUAGUCGGAGAAGAAGCCCCGGCUAACUUCGUGCCAGCCGCCGCUGUAACAC
rnacentral:rRNA from 1 species